rnacentral:lncRNA from 1 species
AUGUUUACAUUUUUAUUCUUUGUAAGGGGAUUACAUACAAUCUCACAGGAGUUGACCUUGCAGAAGUGUCACGUGAGACUUUCCUCAAACUUCUUUCAAUCCUGGGAAGGACAAACUGUGUGGGCCAAGAGGCCACUUGUCCCAAGGAUCAAGUGCUGCUGGAGGGAGCACAAACCUGGCUACAGCAAGGAAUGCUUACCAUUUUUCCUGGACAAGCUGCAGUAUUAUUAAACUGUCUGAAUGAUGAACCAGGAGAAAAUUAAGACAGAGAACAGCACUAAUACUCCAAACCUGAGCAUCUCUUUCCAGCCCAAACAAGGGUUUAAAAGACACUUCCAACUCCUUGCUCAGUGCCUGCUUCCCUGAAGGUGCUCAAGAUGUCUCACUUCCAUAGAGACAAUAUUUAAGACUAAAACCUCUCUUUGAUCAGUAACUCCUGUACUGACAGUAAACAAAGCAAAAUGCCAGCUUUGCAAGAGAAGAAACUUCAGUAGUGCUUUCAGUGAGGCUGGUGCAUAAGAGGCACAGCAGCAAAAGGGAAGACUUCGUUCUGUAAAAACAUCUGUGGAACUCAGCUGUCCCACUGCCUGGGAUGCAAAACCCUUAGCAGGAAUGCACAGGAACUGCAGAGCUUCCUCACAGAAAAAGUUUCUACAGUCCAGUAGUCUCCCUUCAAAUGCUGUUAGAGUAACAACAGAGGGCUCACAGAACUAUUUUAGGCUCCCCUGCCAAACCUCACAAAUGCCUUCCACCUCCCUCUCCUCCCACAUAGCUAACAGUCAAUAUAAGGGCCACACAGUGAGGUUACUCUGCUAAAUGCUGCCAUGUUCAGGAACAAGUUUAUCCUGGUGUGGGUGAUUUUGGGUUUUUGGCAUUUUUAUUUUGCUUCCAACUGUCAAGAGGAUGUAACAGAUGGGAAGAAUUAACUUUCUUUGCUGAGGUGGCAAAGAGGAGGCUUCUGCACCAGAUUCCACAUUGCUAAGCAUUGGGGACUCUCCAGUUGGAGAGAAACAAGUAAGGACAAUAAUCUGAAGCCUGGAUUCCACCAGGAUCUCUCCCUCCAGCUCAUCUAGGUCUCUGGGACUUCCAAUCUGCAGCAGUUAUUAAGAAGACCCUGAAAGAAGUUGGAGGGAAGCUUCUUACAAGCAGAAUUAAGCAAGAACAUUUUCCUAGUCAGCAUUAUCAAAUUAUUUCUAUGUCUACAACUCAAAGGAUAUUUUCCCUAGAGAAC